AGGACGAACGCUGGCGGCGUGCUUAACACAUGCAAGUCGAGCGAGGCCCGUCCUUCGGGACGGUGCCCUAGCGGCGAACGGGUGAGUAACACGUGGGCAACCUGCCCCUAGCACUGGGAUAACUCCGGGAAACCGGGGCGUAAUACCGGAUAUGACCUUUGAGGGCAUCCUCGAAGGUGUAAAGGAUUCUGGCUAGGGAUGGGCCCGCGGCCUAUCAGCUUGUUGGUGGGGUAAUGGCCUACCAAGGCGACGACGGGUA
rnacentral:rRNA from 1 species